rnacentral:rRNA from 1 species
AGAGUUUGAUCCUGGCUCAGGACGAACGCUGGCGGCGUGGUUUAGGCAUGCAAGUCGAACGGUAUAUACGCUUUCGGGUGUAUAGAGAGUGGCGAACGGGUGAGUAACACGUAGAUGAUCUACCCUCAAGAGGGGGAUAACCCAGGGAAACUUGGGCUAAUACCGCAUGAGUGCAGCACCUUAAUUAUCUGUUAAGGUUGGUAAUUAAGGUGCUGUAUAAAAGGUGGCCUUCGGGCUGUCGUUUGGGGAUGAGUCUGCGUCCUAUUAGUUAGUUGGUGAGGUAAUGGCUCACCAAGGCGAUGAUAGGUAGGCGGCCUUAACGGGUGGUCGCCCACACUGGGAUUGAGAUACGGCCCAGACUCCUACGGGAGGCAGCAGUCGAGAAUAGUCUACAAUGGACGAAAGUCUGAUAGUGCGACGCCGCGUGAACGAAGACUCCCUAACAGGGUGUAAAGUUCUUUUAUAUGUGAGCAAUGGGUUAUAUAUUAAUAGUAUGUAGCCAGAGAUAUUAGCAUAUGAAUAAGCAACGGCUAACUCCGUGCCAGCAGCCGCGGUAACACGGGGGUUGCAAGCGUUGUCCGGAAUUACUAGGCGUAAAGGGCAGGUAGGCGGAUCAGUAAGUUUGAUGUCAAAUCCAUCGGCUCACCCGAUGACAGGCAUCAGAUACUGCUGAUCUGGAAUACGGUUGAGGAAGACAGAAUUCCUGGUGUAGCGGUGGAAUGCGCAGAGAUCAGGAGGAAUACCAAAUGCGAAGGCAGUCUUCUAGGCCGUUAUUGACGCUAAACUGCGAAGGUGUGGGGAUCAAACAGGAUUAGAUACCCUGGUAGUCCACACAGUAAACGAUAAUCACUAGGUGUCGGGUUUCAAAUAAACUCGGUGCCGUAGCUAACGCGUUAAGUGAUUCGCCUGGGGAGUACGAUCGCAAGGUUGAAACUCAAAGGAAUUGACGGGGGCCCGC